rnacentral:rRNA from 1 species
AAAGAGUAACGGAGGCGCGCGAAGGUUGGCUCAGAGCGGUCGGAAAUCGCUCGUUGAGUGCAAUGGCAUAAGCCAGCCUGACUGCGAGACUGACAAGUCGAGCAGAGUCGAAAGACGGCCAUAGUGAUCCGGUGGUCCCGAGUGGAAGGGCCAUCGCUCAACGGAUAAAAGGUACGCCGGGGAUAACAGGCUGAUGGUGCCCAAGAGUCCAUAUCGACGGCACCGUUUGGCACCUCGAUGUCGGCUCAUCUCAUCCUGGGGCUGGAGCAGGUCCCAAGGGUAUGGCUGUUCGCCAUUUAAAGAGGUACGUGAGCUGGGUUUAGAACGUCGUGAGACAGUUCGGUCCCUAUCUGCCGUGGGUGUAGGAUACUUGAGAGGAGUUGCCCCUAGUACGAGAGGACCGGGGUGAACGAUCCACUGGUGGACCUGUUGUCGUGCCAACGGCAGUGCAGGGUAGCUAUGAUCGGACAGGAUAACCGCUGAAGGCAUCUAAGCGGGAAGCCCCCCUCAAAACAAGGUAUCCCUGAGGACCGAGGUAGACCACCUCGUCGAUAGGUCGGAGAUGUAAGCGCAGUAAUGCGUUCAGUUGACCGAUACUAAUUGUCCGAUAGGCUUGAUUUG